rnacentral:snRNA from 1 species
UGCUGUGUGCAGUGGCAGUAUCAUAGUCUGUGAGGCUCAACUGAGGCAUGAUUACUGCUAAUUGAAACUUUUCCAGGACCAACGAAGACCUGAAGAUUUUGGGCGGACUACAAAUUACCCCUGGUUAGAACUGUGGACUCACA